UCCACUCUUUCCCGUUGAGCUUUUGAAGUU
rnacentral:piRNA from 1 species